rnacentral:tRNA from 1 species
GAGAAGAGUCAAGAGACAUGGAAACUGCUAACUAUCUAUUCCUACGGUUAAAAUCCGUAGUCUACUCA